rnacentral:lncRNA from 7 species
AGCAGGUUACUUAGCUUGGUCACAGGAAAACAGAGCUCGUCUCUCGUACCACAGGAGCCUCAGCACUUCGUGGGAAACCUCCUUCUGCAUGCCUCAGCCUCCUGAAAGCUCUGUCUGCAGCUGAGAAAUUGAAGCUCUGCAUCCAUACAGUAGUCCCCAGAACCUACCCAGUAUCUGACCUUCACAGUGACCUGAGGAAUCAGGCAGACAAAUAUUGUAGAAGACAACCUUGCACAAGAUAAGAUGGGUGAAGAUGGAGAGUACUAAGGUCACUGAAGAGCAUGGAGACACAGUGACAGGAGAUGCUCUGAUGCAUUUUAGAAAAGGAACUUGAGGACAGAAGCAUUAUUUGCCUUAUUUUAUUAAAAUAAAUAUUAGUGGUAAAAUUAGCUCUGGCACCAGUGGAUGGAAUUCAGAGAGUCAGGACUAUUCAUGGACUACAAGACCCAAAGCCCCACAUCUUCCAAUUCCAGAAGUCUAUUUAAUCCGCAUGAGAUCCAUUUACCACCAUCAAAAUAACAAUUUUGAAAGUCAUAGUAAAUUUUCACAAAAAGGUGGAAUUAAAUAAUCUGAGACUGGUAAUGAGUGUGUCAAAUCAACAUGAGGCGAUCAGAAUCCCUUUGUGGACAGUUGUACAUUUGAAAGCAUUUUCUUGGAGUUGUUUGCCUUCAAAAGGCAGGGCCCAGGAUUGUUUAUUGGCUGAAGACUUGGCGUGGGAGAAAAUGAAAGUAGUUUGAUACAGGAGACUGGGAAAUGAUCCUAAUUGUAUCUUGUGAAGGCAAGAAAGCUGGCCUCUCCCUGCUUCCUCUGAUCUCCUGACUUCAAUUUGCUUCCAGACUUCAGGGUCUGGAAGACAGGAACAAAGGAGUUCCUGAUGAGAUCCCAAAGCCAGAAGCUGUCACUCCAAAAGAACAGGCUUGAUCACUUUGGACUAUAAGCAACAGUUUGUACUGUCAUUGAGAGUAUUAGACAAGUGAACAACACAAGUUCCAACAACACAUCACUACUGAAGAUCAGCACCUAACACCAAGACAUCGCUGGAUCGAGGAGUGCUAGGGUGCCAAGAAGACUGUGCACAGAAAGUUUCCAAGAGUCUGGGGAUACAGCCAUUCGUAUUGGUGCUCACUCUUGAAAAGAAGCAUGUACAUGAGGUUCCACCAAGGUCACCCACACCAGCCUGCAGAAAAGGCUUUCUUUCCUCAUGCCACUACGCCUGCUUGAGUCAUGUCUCUCCAUAGAGAGCCAGCGCACAGCAACAGCUCAGACCCCACACUUGUUCAUCAGCCCCCAUUAGUUCUGGUGACCGUGACAGACUAGCAUUUUUGGAUGCGGGAUUUGGAUACUGCUUACUGAAUGCUGCUGGCUGUUGGCAGUUAAUGUGCUUGUAUUUUAAUGGAUGAGCUGAAUUAACUGUUGUUUUGUAUGCUGUUCUCUUCUAGUUCUUACUAUCCUAUUUCAGAGAUGAAAUAAAACAAAUCUCAACUGAAGGC